rnacentral:rRNA from 1 species
GUGCAGCAGUCGAGAAUUUUUCUCAAUGGGGGAAACCCUGAAGGAGCGACGCCGCGUGGAGGAUGAAGGUCUUCGGGUUGUAAACUCCUGUCAUUUGAGAACAAGGUGCACAUGUUAACUGCAUGUGCAUUGAUAGUAUCAGAAGAGGAAGGGACGGCUAACUCUGUGCCAGCAGCCGCGGUAAUACAGAGGUCCCAAGCGUUGUUCGGAUUCAUUGGGCGUAAAGGGUGUGUAGGUGGCGCCGUAAGUCGGGUGUGAAAUCUCGGGGCUUAACUCCGAAACUGCAUUCGAUACUGCGGUGCUUGAGGACUGGAGAGGAGACUGGAAUUCAUGGUGUAGCAGUGAAAUGCGUAGAGAUCAUGAGGAAGACCAGUGGCGAAGGCGGGUCUCUGGACAGUUCCUGACACUGAGACACGAAGGCCAGGGGAGCAAACGGGAUUAGA